AUCCCUUUGACCCUUGAUGCUAGGAUGACUUAGAGUUUAAAUUAUCAACUCUUAAUAGUACAUCCAUUAUGUGUCUCAAUCUGAUAAAUCUGGUGACUUCUCACAAAGAUUACUCGGGCCAAGGUUUUACUAAAUUGAAACACAAAGCAUUCUCUCCAAUCUUUUGGAGUGGUCAAUUCCAUCUUAACUCACACACCGACUUCACAAGUACUUGACUGUGCCCAGAAACCUUCCGAUCCUAAAUUAAAAUUUCAGGUAGUCCGGUACCAAAGCACAGUGAGUUGCUUGCAAGUCACCAUGGUGAUCUCA
rnacentral:lncRNA from 1 species